AGGACGAACGCUGGCGGCGUGCUUAACACAUGCAAGUCGAGCGGAAAGGCCCUUCGGGGUACUCGAGCGGCGAACGGGUGAGUAACACGUGAGUAAUCUGCCCCUAGCUCUGGGAUAGCUCCGGGAAACCGGGAUUAAUACCGGAUACGACCACUUUAGACAUCUGUUGUGGUGGAAAGAAUUUUGGCUAGGGAUGAGCUCGCGGCCUAUCAGCUUGUUGGUGGGGUAAUGGCCUACCAAGGCGACGACGGGUAGCCGGCCUGAGAGGGCGGCCGGCCACACUGGGACUGAGACACGGCCCAGACUCCUACGGGAGGCAGCAGUGGGGAAUAUUGCGCAAUGGGCGAAAGCCUGACGCAGCGACGCCGCGUGGGGGAUGAAGGCCUUCGGGUUGUAAAACUCUUUCGACGGGGACGAUAAUGACGGUACCCGUAGAAGAAGCUCCGGCUAACUUCGCGCCAGCAGCCGC
rnacentral:rRNA from 1 species